AGAGGGUUGCAGCUAUGCUUCUGUGGAUCUGCCCUUGCCUGUAUAAUUUAAUGUGAAAUUACAGUUUCCAUGGCACUUCAUGGUCUAUCCAGUAGAAUUAUACAACAGAGAGUCUGAAGUAUAGUUUUAAAAGCCUAUGGAAGGACACAGUCCAGCAUUCUAUAGCACAUUUUUCAUGUGCAGAAAUAAACUAUUCAACACCAGCGACAUGGAAUUGCCAGUUGAAAAGCUUUGUCUACACCACUGCUACACAGGUUAAAAUCUGUCUUAUAUUAGAACAAAAUCAUCUCAGUAAGUAGAACGCAAGGAUGGUGUUUCAGAGACUAAUGGCAAAAAGUCAGCCCACACUAUAUGUCUGCAACAAAGAGAGAAACUACAUAGCAGUGGGAAAUGCUGAUGGCGGAAUUGUCUAACACAUUUAUUGUUUCAUGCUGAACAUGUGUGAGAUGCUAGCAAGCAUGUAAACAAGAUGGCCAUGCAGCUGUCAUCAGGCACCAAAGAACAGCUUUUCUGCUGCUUGUUCUUUUGUGGGCUGAACGUAUGCCCCUUAGUGAAAUUUACCAUGGGAUUGUGGCACAGCAUGGUGAGAACUGUAUGGCUCAAUGGAAGGUCAUGAAUAGGUGGAGAAAUUCAGAAGCAGCCACAUAUCUGCAAUAGGUGAACCCAGGGUAGGCUGCCUUAACACAGCCACAGUGGAAGACAACAUUGCCAGGGUCAACUCUUCUCUGAGCACAAAUAAGCGAGCGAGCAUUCCUGAACUAGUGGUGGAAGUACGCAGAAGUGCUGAAAUCAUCUAUGCCAGUUUGCACAAUCAUGUGAAUUACUGGAAAAUGUGUGCCUAUUGGAGCCAAAGAAACUGAUGGGUAUGCAUAAAUAACAAUGUGUGGAAGUAUGUACCCAGGUUCUGCAACAUAAACAGGAUGAAGGUGAGGGUUUCCUCUUAUACAUGAUGACUGGGGCAAGAGUUGGGUCCACCAUUACAAUCCCAAGAGCAAAAGGCAGAGCAUGCAGUGGAAAUGUACACCAUCACCACUGUCCAAAAAAUUCUACACUUAACCAUCCUUUGUAAAGAUCUUGCUUAUCGUGUUUUGGGAUUGCAUGGCAGAGCCAAACUUAGGGUUGAGUAACCACCUGGGACGCCCUGGUCAGAGGGUUGCCAGUGGAGUGGUGCAGCUCUGCAGGCAGAGGCAGGGGUCGGGUACAGCUCUGGUAUUGUCAUGGUGCAGCUCUGGUAUUACUAUUCAGAUAGCUAAGGGAGAUGAUUUUUAACACCUGUGAAGUAAAGAACAAUAGGCCAUUAACAGGCCAUUGAUACCCUUAGCUGCCUGAAUAGUAUGGUGGCAGCAGCAGGAGCAGGGCAAGAGCUGGGACACUUGUUUUAAUUUUCACUGGCUGUGACUCUUGGAAGCAUGUGUUAAGGUAUGCAAGCAUGUGCAAAAGUGUGGGAAGAAGCUUUGAAGAAACACUGUAAGGACUUUUAUUGUACAUAGACAUAUAGAGAGAUCUCUGAUGUUAAUGGCACGGACCUCUUUAAAGAACUUAGCUAUCUAUCUCCAAAGUCUAAUUCCGACAGACUGUCAUGUUCUGCAAGAAAGUCUAAUUUAUUUACAAGAAUGUACUUCAUGGCAACUUUCCAAACCCAUAGAUAGUUCUCAAGUUCCUGUUAAUCAUGCCUGUAUUUGUGAUGAGCAGCAAAGGGAGCUUCUCAAAGUUGAAACUCAUAACAACGUAUUUGUGAUUGACCAUGGGAGACAACAGGCCAACUUUUCUGGCCAUCCUGUUUAUCAAGAAUGCUGUGGCUCAAAAUAUAGACCUGUCACAAGCAAUAUCAGAGUUUGCAGCAGCAAAGGCAUGCAGAGUCAUCUUUUGAGUCUGGGUGAACAAAGUUUUUUAUUUAUUAUUGUUAUUAGUUUAGUGUUUAAUUUGAUGUAUAGUUCAUUUGUCACCUAUCUAUAAUGUUAUUUUUUAUGACAUAUAAUUUAUUAUUUGAAUAAAAUUGAAUUGAAUUGAA